rnacentral:rRNA from 1 species
AUACCCUAUUAUUUUUUAUGUAAAUAAUUAAUCUUGGGUAGUAUAAGAUAAGGUCUUUAAACUUAAAGGAUUUGGCGGUAUUUUGAUCUAUUUAGAGGAAUUUGUUAUGUAAUUGAUAAUCCACAUUGAACCUUACUUAAAAUUAUGAUUCUUGUAUAUCGCUGUUUAAUGAAUUUUCUUUUAGGUAAUUUUCUAAAUAAUUAAUUUAUUUAAAUUUCAAGUCAAGGUGCAGUUGUUUUUAAGUUGAAUAAUGAAUUACAAUAAGUUUUAUUUAAAAUGGAUUAUACUCUUGUAAAAGAUAUUUGAAGGUGGAUUUAAGUGUAAUUUUUUGAAGAUUAUUAAUAUGAUUUUAAGGCUCUGGAAUAUGUAC